UACGAAGGGGGCUAGCGUUGUUCGGAAUUACUGGGCGUAAAGCGCGCGCAGGCGGUUCUCCAAGUCAGUGGUGAAAGCCCGGAGCUCAACUCCGGAAUUGCCUUUAAGACUGCAUCGCUUGAAUCAUGGAGAGGUGAGUGGAAUUCCGAGUGUAGAGGUGAAAUUCGUAGAUAUUCGGAAGAACACCAGUGGCGAAGGCGACUCACUGGACAUGUAUUGACGCUGAGGUGCGAAAGCGUGGGGAGCAAACAGG
rnacentral:rRNA from 1 species